GGGUCAAGGUCAUAAACGUUGAACGUGCAAAAUUCACGUUUACGGUACAUGUUUGUAUUUUAUUUCGCAAUCAAUAGAUGAGCUGAGAAUAACAACCAGUCAGUAUACAAUUUUAAAUUAUACUGAUCACAAGAACAUACUCGAUUUCCAUUUUAAAAAGUACGUUUGUGUUAUAACUUUCGGAUAGCGUCCUUAGGGUAUAAUUUGCGCUGUUGCGUAAGCGCUGUCAUUCGGAUUGCAACAAGGGCAUACUGAUACAUCAUAAUAAUGUCGAGACCAGACAUAGGGGAGUACCGUCCACACCAGUAUGAGACAGCAGGAGAAAGAAGUGCCAGACUUGCGAAAGAAAACCCAGUGAUGACAAUAGGUGUGGCUGGGGCGUUAGGAAUUGUGUUAUACAGAAUUUUCAAU
rnacentral:lncRNA from 1 species